rnacentral:rRNA from 1 species
UACGGGGGGAGCAAGCGUUGUUCGGAUUUACUGGGCGUAAAGGGCGCGUAGGCGGCCACUGCAAGUCGGUUGUGAAAUCUCCGGGCUUAACCCGGAAAGGUCAAUCGAUACUGCAGGGCUAGAGUGCAGAAGGGGCAACUGGAAUUCUCGGUGUAGCGGUGAAAUGCGUAGAUAUCGAGAGGAACACCUGCGGCGAAGGCGGGUUGCUGGGCUGACACUGACGCUGAGGCACGAAAGCGUGGGGAGCAAACAGG